rnacentral:rRNA from 1 species
AGAGUUUGAUCCUGGCUCAGAAUGAACGCUGNGCGGCGUGCUUAACACAUGCAAGUCGUACGAGAAAUCUUCAGCUUGCUGAAGAGAGUAAAGUGGCGCACGGGUGAGUAACGCGUGGGUAAUCUACCCUCGAAUUUGGGAUAACAUUGCGUAAGCGAUGCUAAUACCGGAUAAUAUCCAUCAGGCUCUGGUUUCGAUGGAUCAAAGGUGGCCUCUACAUGUAAGCUACUGUUUGGGGAUGAGCCCGCGUACCAUUAGCUAGUUGGCAGGGUAAUGGCCUACCAAGGCUAGCGAUGGUUAGCUGGUCUGAGAGGAUGAUCAGCCACACUGGAACUGACACACGGUCCAGACUCCUACGGGAGGCAGCAGUGAGGAAUUUUGCGUAAUGGGCGAAAGCCUGACGCAGCAACGCCGCGUGAGUGAUGAAGGCCCUCGGGUCGUAAAGCUCUGUCAUAGUGGGAAGAACCUGAUUGGUAUUAAUACUGCCUAAUCACUGACGGUACCACUGAAGGAAGCACCGGCUAACUCCGUGCCAGCAGCUGCGGUAAUACGGAGGGUGCAAGCGUUAUUCGGAAUUAUUGGGCGUAAGGGCGCGUAGCGGCCUGUAAGUCAGAUGUGAAGCCCGGGGCUUAACCCCGAAGUGCAUUUGAUAU